rnacentral:lncRNA from 10 species
AAUUUUUUAAUGAACCAGUGAGUGUUGUUUCAAAGCCAACACAUAUAUUCUAAUUAUUUCUUCAUGCCAAGAAGCUGGAAGUACUUUAUAGCAAUUGGCUCCAUUCCUGACAGUUAUUGGGAUUUAACAGCUUUAUUGGCUGGGGGAGGAACACAUGAACUCCUAAGGGCUAAUACAAGCAUUUGGGAAAUUAUCUGUUGUCUGGCGUCAGCACUGGAACAGGGCAGCAGAGCUGGAGAGUAAGAAGCAGAGCUGGAGAGGAAGAAGUGUUUGCUAAGUCACCGCGCAGGAGGAGACAGAAUCAGAGGUGACGAAUGUAAGUCCACCCAUUGGCUUAAGAUCCAGUAUCCUGAGUGAGUUGCACAGAUCCUCUCCUUCAGUCCUCUCAGGUAGGUGCAGUGGUGUCUCCCUGGAGCACAGAGAGGCCAAGUAUCUGGCUCCAAAUCACAAGACUUGCAGAGGGUAAGGCUGGUGUCUAAGGUCCCAUCAGUUGAACUCCAAAGCAGGCUGUCUAGAAAUUGGGUUCAGAGACCUCCCAGCCUGGAACCCAGUUUGAUGGAGUCCCGCAUUCAGGGGCCAGUAAACCACUGUACCCUGGACAACUCCAUAAGCUUCGGUUAUAUUUUUAGGGCGGUUUUGCAUGUUGAAAUAUUUGCAUGCUUCGAGUCUACCAUGCAUGAUCAGGCUGUCCCUGACCAGGGGAAAAUUUACAUAGUAAAAUAGUAUUACCCUUGAAAUAGAUUUAAGAUAGGUCCUCCUUUUUCUUGACAGUAUUACAACCCAGUUCAAUUUCAGGAACUCUAGAGGUCCCUGCAGUUAUGAAGAACUAAUUAAAGGCAUGAAAUGUUCCUCUGCAAGUUUCAUUGACCAUAUUGGGCCUACAGUCCAUUUCCAAAUAAAUAUCUAAGGUAAGAAAAAUAUGGGACUCCCCACAGACUACUUAUCUACCAGAUGGUGUGGGGUUUGGAUGGAUGUUUUCAGUUACUUCAGCAAUUUUUUCAUUAAUUCAGUAUUUAUUGAGAACCUAAUGUAUGCCAAGCUUGUAAAAUGCAGUGGGGGGUAUGACCUAUUCCCAGGUCUCUGGACUCUGGCAGAAUGGUAGAGAAGAUGCUGUCGGGCUUGCAUGUUCAGAACACCGUGUCUUAGGUGACCUCCCGGGCCUUUGGAGGCCCAACCCCAGGGUGGCGGGAUAGCCAGGUGAGGCUUUGUUUGGCCUGUUCACGUUUCUCUGGAAAAGAAUGGGGGUAGUUAGGCCAGGCGCGGUGGCUCAUGCCUGUAAUCCCAGCACUUUGGGAGGCCAAGACAGGUGGAUCACUUGAGGUCAGGAGAUCGAGACCAGCCUGGCCAAUGUACAGUGAAACCCUGUCUCUACUAAAAAUACAAAAUUUAGCUGG